rnacentral:lncRNA from 1 species
CGUGACCAAGGCCCAUAAUAUCGGCCAUCACCUCUGUUACAAAACAAUUUAUGAUUAUAAAUAACUAUAUUUAAUAUCUAAAUUAAUAAUAGAAUAUUUAAUUUAAUAGUUUUACAAAGCAAUUUAUGAUUAUGAAUAAUUUUAAAACUAAAAUACCACAUAAAUAUUAAAUUUGAUUUGAAAAUUACUCUUUGUAAUAUACACACUUUGUUUUUCACACAUUACAUACAUAGAUACACACACUAUACAUACAAAUACAUAUAAACAUUUUCCUACACAUAUUCAUUAUAGCAUCAUACUUCUUUUUCUAUUAUAACAACCUAAUUCCAAAUAAUAAUCAUACAAAAAACACACAAAAACAUAAAAAUACCACAUAAAUAUUAAAUUUGAUUUGAAAAUUACACUUUGUAAUAUACACCCUUUGUUUUUCACACAUUACAUACAUAGAUACACACACUGUACAUACAAAUACAUAUAAACAUUUUCUUACACAUAUUAAUUAUAGCAUAAUACUUAUUUUUCUAUUAUAGCAACCUAAUUCCAAAUAAUAACCAUACAAAAAACACACAAAAACAUACAAAUAACACACAAACAGAUUUCCGGCGACAAUUCAUUCCAAAUUCCAAACCAAAUAAUACCAUACAAAUAACAUACAAAAACAUACAAAUCAAAAAUAUAAUUUCAAAAGUCAUGAAAAGGAACAUGUGGUAGUGUAAUUUAGUGAUUUUCCGGUAAGAAAUCCAGUUUUCCGGCAACAAUUCCGGCAAUAGAUUCGACAGAAGUAGAUUUUCCGACAAGGGUUCAAAAAACAUUAAAGUAAACACUUAAACCAGUAAAGAAAACUUCAAAACAGAAGUUGAAUAGAAAAUAGGGAAGAAAUCAGACCUUAAAUCGAACUUUUGUCGCAGGAAAUGAGUGUGGUCGCCGGUAAUAAUGGAGCUCCACCAGUGGCCGGCAGUAAUGGUUGCCGGAGACGAGUCACGUGGCGCAAACGAGGUCGUCAUCGGAGGUGCAGUCGCCGAUUAUCGUUAGAGGAGUGAAAGGAAGCAGAACGAACAGGAAAGUGACGCAGUGGGGGGUAUCUGCGACGAGUAUUAGCUGCGAUGCGUAUUAGCGGCGACGCUAGGGUUUUAGCGGCGACAAUAGGGUAUUAGCAACGACACCCCUGGAGGGAAAAUAUAGCGCCCUUUUUCCUCAUUUCCCACCGUUGGAUGAAAAGCAGAUCGAAUGGAUAUGGUUAAUUUGACGUGGAUCGACACCGUAGCAUCAUUAGCGGCGACACCAGCUAUUAGCAGCGAAACCAAAUCCCUAAAAAAUUCAAGUACCCCGCCUUCCCCAAAAAUCGAACCUCACAAUAUCUUUCAUGGAGUCGGUGAUUGGGGGUCUACGACUCCUCAAUCGCAUUCAUUUUCACUAUUGUUGGUUCAUUAGCCAAUUAUCAACCACUGCUCGCAGCACUUGGUCGUCGUCAGUUUUCCAUUUCCACCGACAAUUAUGCCAAGAGAAACUACGCCAACAAUGUGUCUGAAUACAGUACCGUCAUUCGAUCUCUCACUUCUCAAAGAAGGUAUGUCUCUCACCGCUCUUUUUUUCAUUUCUUACUUAAUCAACAGCAGCACACCCUUUUUCACUCCACUCUUUCUCUCUAUACAAACAACCAAGAAGCAGCAACAGCAGCACAAGAAAGAUGGGAGAAGGAAAAGGCUCAUCCUUAGUUCAUCUUCUAGUUAUCAUCUUAUGUUUAGUUGCUUUUGGUUUCACCAUUGUCGCCAUAGCACCGUACUUUCUCUUUCUCUCAUCUAAAUUUGAUCUGUUUAUGUUGAUUUCAUCUGUAAGCUAGGGUUUUCUGCUCGAUUCCUCCAUUCGCAUUUAUUUUCUCAUGUUUGGUACAUGAUUGAAGGUUGAAGGAGCCAUGGAACACUCGUACAGCUACUAUUCUGGUUAUAAUGGGACAGACCAGGUAUAUUCAAUUUCUCAACUAGAACGUGUGUGUGUGUGUAGUGAAGUUAGUUACAUAAAUUUUGUUCAUUUUUUGAUGUUGUUCCUAACUUUUGAAGGCUUCUGGAGCUUAUAUCUUCCUUCCCAAUGCCACAUUUCCAAUAAAAUCUCAAGGGCAGGUAAACCAUACUCUUUUGGGGUAGUUAUCUACUACUGUUGUCUGUUGCAAGUGACUAACGAUUUCUUUUUGUUACAGAAAGCUUUUACUAUCAUAAGGGGUCCACUAAUGGAUGAAGUGCACCAAUAGUUAAACUCCUGGAUAUAUCAGGUCACCUGUGUAUACAAGGAGAAGGAACAUGUUGAUGUUGAGUUUAUCGUAAGAAUUUUAUUCCUUUUUGAUUUAAUGUAGUUGUAGCAGUUUCUCGUUGACACUUGACCAGAAUGUGUGUGUGUGUGUAUUCUCUAAUUACAUAUCUUAUUUUUGGUACUAUCAGAUUGUACCUAUCCCUAUAGAUGAUGGUGUUGGGAAAGAAAUAACAACUCAGAUCACAAGUGCCUUGAAGACAAACAAAACACUCUAUAUGGAUUCUAACAGGAAAGACUUCAUUAAAAGGGUAUAUACGUUAUAGAAUAUUGUUUCUGUACUUGUCUCGCACAUGAUAAAAUUUACUGUUUUGCAGGUUCAUGAUUUCAGAACAGAUUGGGAGCUGCAAGUGAAUGAACCAGUUGCUGGAAAUUAUUACCCAGUACGUGUUCACAUGUCAUCAUUGUAGUGUUUUUUAUGAAUUAAGUAAUAAAAUGAUUUGGUUAGAUAAAUCUUGUAUGAUCUAAUAAUCUUUUAUUCUUUUUGGCUACAUCACCUAAUAUUUUUCUUUUUGUGCUCUGUUUGUAUGAUCAAUUCUGCAAAUGCUUAUUAUGGAGAUUCCUGUAAGUAUUAGUUCAAACUCAUUAUGAUUUUCUUGAAAAUAUUGUUGUAACCAUUGUUCAUUUUUCAAUAUGAAUGACUCUACUUUGUAUUUUAUUUAUUUGUUUUUGUUUUAUCAGAAGGUUGGAAUUGAACUGAUUGUUAACAAGGCAGAAUUUCCUAAGCACCAAUGUGCAAAUGUUAUAGUGGCAAAUGAGUGCAUUGAUUUACCUUCAGAAACAAAUGUUGAAGGCCUCAAGUCGGGCCUUGUGGAUUAUGUUCUCAAGCAUGGGAAUAAAAAAGAUAGUAUAUGCCAUUCUUGCUUUACAAUCGAGUAAGUUGUAUGUGGAUAAGAUCUAGUUAAGGUAGCUGUGUUAUUCAGAUUACCUGAUUAUUAUUGACCACACAUUUUCAUCCUGUUGCAUUAAUGCUUUUUUUUAGGGAUCACUUGAAAGUAGGAAGUAGGGAGGUCUAGAAAAGUUAUAGGGAUACUAAAACAACAAUAGAAUCUAUGAGAACCUUUUGAACCUUGUGUUCUUUUUUUAUAAGAAAUUGAAAUAAUGUGAUCUAAUGUAUUUUGAUUUGUUUCUAUUGUAUUAAACAGAACCAUAUAGUGGGUAUACGGUUGACCAAAUUAAUCCAUUUGACGCAAUUUCUUCUUUUAGGAGGUGAUUGAAAUUGCUAAACCGUUUUUAAAUGAAGGGGAGAAUGUAAAAAGUAUAGUAGCUCAAACAGUGCCUCUUAUUACCGCUCCUGUCAUUGUAAGUUUUACCUUCUUUAAUAACAUUAUUUAUAAAUUUGGAGGUACAUUAAAUAUAAUCUUUUGUAUUUUUUAUUUUUUAUUUACUUAACAGUUUUGUAUUAUUUUUUCAAAGGCUCUAUCGAAAGGUAUAUAUAACUAACAUAUAUAGCAACUUACUUUGAUUUGUUUUAAUUUUUAUCUAAUGUGUUUUUUUAUACUAUUACAGGUCAGGCACGAUACUUCUAGGACCAAACAACCAGUAUCUCACUAAAAUUGUUUUUAUAUUUGCUAAGGUUAGUUGUUUUUUUUUUUGGAAAAUUAAUAGAGGGCAAAGUUGUCAUUUCAGAUGUUUACUAAUGUUGGUAUAUGUUAUGUGUCUGUGUUUGUGUAAAAUAACAACACUAGUUGUACAGAUUUUCAAUAGUUAUAGUCUAUUAUUACCUUAUAUGAAAAUAGUUAUACAAUAUGGUAUUUUAAACCCCAUGACCUAAUUUGUAAUUUUUUUUAUUUAAAAAGCUACUAAUCAUAAUUAUCUCAUAUUAUUUUGGUUUUUUGAAGGGUGAUUGUACACGAAGUAGUAUGUUAAAAUUUGGUUGCCAGGUACUUUCAACCUCAUUACACGAUUCUUAAAGUUAUUUUUUUUUUUUAUUUUUGGCUUAUUUUUAAAUAUUGGGAUUUGUUGGUUUAUGUGAAUCCGAUGGUUGCACUAUUUAAAUUUGUAGGUCUUGUUGAUGUACAUAGUGUCAAGAAAAGUAGCUUGGGUGUUCUGAAGGUGGCAACUAGUUCUUGUAGUUCAACUAUUAUUGGUUGAUGACUUUCAUCUCUUUCACAUUUGAUGUAUUACAUUUGUCUACUAUUGGAAUGAUUAUUUGUAUGACACUAACUUUUGUNAUAUAUAUAUAUAUAUAUAUAUUUAAAUAUAAAAUUACGAUACGCAAAAAUGUGUGUCAUCUUCAAUUAUGACAUGGCCUUUCUUGACAGCGGUUUUAAUGAUACGCAUUGCAUGUCAUAAAUGCAUGUAGUAAAUGCGCGUCGUCUAUACACGACACACAAAAGCGUGUCGUCUUUCGUUAUGAUAGGGUCUUCCUUGACAAGCAUUUGCGCGUCGUCUGAGCGUUUUACGACACGCAUUGUGUGACAACCUGGAAUUUUCAUUCGUACAAACUCUAAAGUCAAUAACUUCGAUUCAAAGUCAAUUACAUUUUAAUAGUUGUUAGCCAAUUUAAAAGUUUGUUUGAUUGUUAUAAUUAUUUAUUCUUCAAACGAACGAAGGAAAUGAUGUACCUUCUCGGGUCUUGAAGUAGCAAACCCACCCAAUGCACCCUAAUAAAGAGUUUACGGGCAAAAAUUUUAGAGUUUGGGCCGUAAACUCUUGUGUGGCCAUGAACAUAUGCCUUAGGCAUGAGUUUACUCCCCAAACUCCUCAUUUCUCACUUCCACCCUCAAGUUUACUCCUCGUUCUCUCUCAACUAUCAUCCCGUUCUUCGUUCGAUCUUCCGAAAACGUAAGUGUUUCUCGACUUGAUUUGUUGUUAUACCCUAUCACCUAGUGUUUAUACGUCAUUUCAUCCAUUCAUUAUUGCUUUUCAACUAGAUCUUCAAGUGUUCUUCAAAACACCAAGAACACCAAGAGCACACACUAGUGUUCUUCGACCUUAAACACCCAAUCGAGCUUCUAUCUUGUAAGUACACUUUCCUUAGCUUCUUGUGUGCUUAGUAUGCUCUUAAUAACACUUCAAAAUCAUCAAGAAUCAUAAGAACAAAGGAGUUUACGGCCGAGGAUGUUCUUGGGCCGUAAACCCCUCUUAAGGUGGCUAAAUGGACCCUACUUCCUUCCUAAGCCUUGGAUGCCAACCUUGAUCCUUCUUAGAAGCGUUUAAGACCUUAAACAACAAUCAAAACAAGUCCCCAUGAGAGUUUACAGUCGUAAACACCUAAGGAAGUGGUCCUUAGUCUGUGAAAUCUACAAGAAAUGGUUAGUGUGCCCCUAAUGAUUUCCUAAGGCUUGGACUUGAUCAUCGGAAGCUCAAUCAUGACUUGUAAGACCUCAAAAAACAAUUUGGCACAUAGUACCAUGAGUUUACGGCCAUAAAAUUAUGGGGAAAUGGUCAUGGGCCAUAAAAUCCAUAAGGAGUGGUCCUUGGGCCAUAAACUCCAAUGCCAUGCCAUAUAAUCCUUAGAUGCAACCCUUUGGUACCUAUAGCACUUUAUUCAAAGUGUUUCCAUGUCCUAGGGUGUCUUAACUUGAUUAAUUAGUUGUUAAGUGUCUAAUUAGAUACAUAUAUGUUUAUUAUCUGUUAACUAGGAUCAUUGUGUGUGUUCAAGUCUUCACUUGACACCUAGCACCUUGUCCAACACUUACGAACAAACCACUCACUACAGGUGAGUUCAUACCCCUUAAUUAACCUUUUAAAUGUUUUGAAAUGUUUAUAAAUGCUUUUAUGGGGGGGAUACAACUUGAAUCAUGUUAGUUAUUAUAUCAAUCGCAUGUGAUUAAUAACUAGCAUACAAAUGGAUUUACUACACUUUUAGCUGUUUUACCAAACAUAUUACUUCAAAUGGCUUUCUCAAACGUUUUUACAUGUUAAAACUCUUUAUAAAACUGUCUUGUCAAACAAACUACUUUCAAAUCGUUUUUAUAAACUGAUAUCAAGUCAUGAACUCUUAUUUAUUAAACUUUUCAAAGGUUUUACCAAAACUUCUUUUAUACUUUUAUAUUGUAAAUUGCAUGCCUAUAUAUGUAUAGUUAUAUAAGUAAUGUUUAAAAGACUUAGGACGGCUAGCUCGCUUUAUUUCCUUUUCAACGUUGGGAUGUGGCCUUAGGGUAUCGGUUAUUCGUCCGAAUGUCGUCUAACUAUUAGUUUUAUAUCAUGUAUACCUAGAUAGACAUAAAAGUUCUAUCAGUCAAUUCAGUACCUUUGGGUAGCAAAGACAUACUUUCGGUUAUUCACUUACAUUACUAGUAACUAUAAUAGGUAUAGUUAGGAGAUACUAUUUACUAUUCCUAGUACAAUUGUUAAAAGCAUGUCUAUAUAUGUAUAAUUAUAUAAAUAAUGUUUGAAGGACUUAGAACUGCUAACUGGCCUUGUUUCCAUUUCCUCAUUGGGAUGUGGCCUUAGGGUGUAGGUUAGUUGUCUGAAUGUCGUCUUAAUAUUAGUUAUAUAUUAUGUAUACAUAUAUAGAUAUAAAGGUUCUAAUCAGUCAGUUUAGCACCUUUGAGUAGCAAAGGUAUACAUUCAUAUAUUUCUAGUAAACUAUUAUUUGUAUAGUUUUGGGUAUANUAUAUAUAUAUAUAUAUGAUAACAUAAAUGUGGAUUUCAACCUAGUGAUUUAUUGCGGAAGUCACCUUUAGUUUCCCAGAAUCUCUUCUAAGGAGAACUUUUAGUAUGGGGACUAUCAAUCACAUUAUUACUUACUUUCAGCGGGUCUUGUGAGAAGACUACUUACUUACAGCGGGUCUCAUGAGAAGACUUCUUACUUACAGCGAGUCUCGUGAGAAGACUACUUACUUACAGCAGGUCUCGUGAGAAGACUACUUACUUACUUUCAGUGAGUCUCGUUAGAAGACUAUUAACUUACUUUCAAUUGGGGUCUUGGUAGAAGACUAUUUUUUAUACUAGUAGGAAAUAUGGGAUUUUCUAGGGUUUUCAUACUUAUACACACCUUUCCUCAAAACAAUUACAAGUCUUUUAUUACAAGUUUUAUUCACAAAUAAUGACAUUAAAUACUUAUGAAUUCACCAACUUUAUGCUGAUACUCACUUUCAAAAUAACUUGUAUUCUCAGGUCACCAAUAGACGGAUACGAUGACUAGGUUUUGUGAAGACGGAGCAGACAAGACUCGUCUUUUAUUUUGAAUAUUCAUUUUAUUGUUAUUCUAUGAAAAAAGACACUUGUAUUUAAAAUUAACUAUUAAUGCAAUGAAUGAUGUUGUUGCUUGUUUACUAAUUUGCAUUGUUGUGAUACUUUACAUGACGUCCUCCGCCCAAAACGUUUCCACCGUUCCUGGUUUUGGGGUGUGAUACAUUGCGCAUCGUAAAAGACUGUUUUUUUAGUAGUGGGGGGAAUGUAAGUGAUUAGGGUUUAGGCUCAUGCCCUUUUGGGUUUAGCCAUUAGGGUUUAGGUAUUCUCUAUAUACUUUUAUGUAAUUGUCUUUUAAAAAUCAAUCAAUCUGUUAUUUAACAGAUUGCUCGACGAUGGAACUUCACGAUCCAAGGUUUGCAAAUUUUUCGAAGUUAAUUGCGUAGAAGAAGCACCUUAUGUUGGAUGAUUUGAAGGUUUUGUAAUGACACGAUAUUUGAAACGGUUAAAAAAAAAAGGAAGACCACCGACUUUAAAUUUAUUGUGUCAAAAUCCUAUUCUUUUAUAUUUUAUAAUAGGAUAUUUAAGCUUAAAGUUAAUUGGGUUGGUUGGUUUAGAAACCAUAUUUAUUCUAUGAACUGUGUAAUUGUUUGUUUCUUCAUUGCACCUUGUUAGGGUUUAAUACAAUUCUGCUGGUCCAAAAAAAUGUGUUAAGAAUUUUGUUAAUCAUAAAUAAUACGUAUCUGCUAAUUCAUUUGUUAUUUUCAUCAGAUUUAUGUUAUCUAUAGAAUUCGUUUCGUUGUGGUUGAGGAAAAUAAGCUAUUGAAUUGCAGUGGCCUCAGAAUAAUCUGGUGGUGAUAUUGCCGUCUGUAUGGAGAAUGCCAAGAUAGUCAUACAUCAUUGCUUAUGUCAAUAUAGUUUUCUAGAAGGAUAUACAUACAUAUCAUGGACAAUUAUUAUUUGGGGUUAGCAGAGUUGUGAUAGGAAAUAAAUAAAUAAAAACUAUCUACAUAAUAUUUAUAGUCACAGUGUGUUCAUGGGCCAUUUUAUGUCAACCUUUUAUAUAUACUAUUUAAACUUUACAUUGUUCUGCUGUUUGGUUUAUAUUUACAAAAAUGUUUCUUUUUCCUUUCAAAUGACCUAAACAAACUUUAGGGAGACAUAGAAUGUUUUUGGAAAUAAUAAAAUUUGUCAAAUGACUAAAAAUCUUAAAGAAAAUUGGAAAACAAGAAUUGAAAUUUGUAAACUCUUUGGUUGACAAAGUCCUUUUAUUUAUUUAUUUACUUUUAUUUAUUUAUUUACUAGGUUUAAAACCCAUAGAAACCAUGGAAACCACAGUUGAUAUGAUUAAAUAUUUUGUAUAGACAAAAGAAAUAAUAAUUGUAAAGGAAAGCAUGAGAUUCUCCAUGGUAAGUGAAAUUAAUUCAAAAUAUUUUAUCAAUUUCAAAUUUUACAAUAAGAUAGGAUUUGUAUUUUGAUAUUAACUAGAUUAUAGUCCGCGUUAAACGUGGGAAACGCAUAAAAAAACAUAUAAUCGUUCAUAGAUAUUGUAUAAUGAUUAUAAAAAAAUAUAUGGUUAUUGGUAUUAUUGAAAUGGUAGAAAAUACAUUGAAAACGAUAAAUAUAUAUAAUCAUUGAAACAUCUCUUUGUAGACAUCAUUUUUUGUUUUAUUAGUUGAACGACUUUCCUCAUCUUAUAUAGUUAUGAUAUUUAUAUAUUUAUAAGCAUUUUAAUUAGACGUUCCUUGCAUAAUAAUGUUACCUAAUUUAAACAUAUUUUGACAACCAAUAUACCGUUUUUUCUAUUGCAUUAAAUAUUGACAACUAUUUUAUUUAUUCAAAUAAAGUUAUGUAAUAUAAUUUAUAAAAUGUUAAAUGGUAUAUAUAUUUAAUUUUAAUAUAUCAUCAAUGGAGAUUCUUUUCUAAAUCAUGAUUGGUUUAUUUUAAAUUGAUUAUAAAUAUAAAUGCUAGCUUUUAUGUUUGUUCUUAUUUAUUUAGUGUUCGCAAGAACUUUGCAUUAGUUUUGGCGCAACUUUGAAUAAUUUUAGUAUAUUAUCAAUGUAAUUUGAUAUAUCUGUCAAUUAUAUGAAAUAUCAAAUAAUGACAUUUCAUUAUUAUUAUGAUAAUUUAGUUUAUAUAUUGUAUUUUCACUAAUCUUAACGGUCUUAUUUUUUCUAAUAACCGUAACGCUUUUACUAAAUGUACUUUUUACAAAUCUCCUAAUAUCUUAUAAUUUUUAUCUUACUUUAUAAUUUUUCAUAACUAUGUUAUUUUCAAGAUUGACUGCUUUAAUAGUGUUUUUUUUCAGUCUAUUCAAUUUUAUAUUUCAUUGUACAACAUCAUCGUUUGUAUGUAUUCUGAAAUUUCACUUUAAAAAUGUUUAAUGUUUACACCUUGAUAUUAAUUUUUUUAAUAAACUCAUGUAAUAAUUAUGGAAUAUAUAUCUCAUUUUAAUUAACAUUCACUUCCUUUAUUAUAUCAAAUUCCUCAUUAAACGGAUAUACUUUUGGAAAAUAAUAAUUAUAAUAGGGCAGCAUUAUCUAAGACGUAAAUGUUUGAUAUACUUUUGGAGAAAAAAAAAUCAGGAUCAUUAAAAAAAAUUAUAUAAAGAAAAUACAAAUUUAAAUUUGUUGAAAUUAUGGAUGAAAUUACUGGCGAAAAUUUAUUUUGGAGGGAGUUGUAUUUUGUAAGGUAUAAUAAUAUUACAAAAUUUGAAAUAUCUAUAUUUGUUGUGUAAAUUAAUAAAUUUUAUUGUUACUAUACAAAGAUAAAAAAGUAGGUUGAUAUGAUAUACAAAAACAUAAUAAUUUCAAUGAUAUUUUAAAAUCAUGCCAAAAUUAACCGGAUUCUUAUGACAUAAAAAUUAAAAAAAAAAUCAUAAUCAUCUCUAAUAUAUAAAAGUAACAUUUUCGUAAUUAAUGUCAGUUCCCAAGAUAGUUAACUUUUGUUUUGUUAAAUGCACCUAAUAUCUUUUCAUGUUUAUUUGAAAAGUUUCAGAAAAGUAGUGAACUGAUUUCAUGUAAUUUGUGACAAAGAAAAUCGAAAUAUAUGAAUACAUACAUUUGAUAUAGGAACAAAAAAUAAUCGAAAAAAAUAUAAAAAACGAAAGAAGGUACUGACCUUCUAGCGCACAAGAGCGAAUAUUUAUAGCAGAGAAUGAUGAUGGAAGUUAUAAGCAAUAUUAACGAUGUUGUAGGAGAAGGUUUGAAGAAAAGAAACGAUUGAAAAUAAAUGUGAGUCGCGGAUUCAAUGAUGAAUCGUAUAUGUAUGUGAUAAUUUGAAUAUAAUUUUUCGGUAUUAAUGAUUUUCUAAUAAAAAAGAUUUUAUAUUAAUGAUUUACUAAUAUAAACGGAUUUAUAUUAAUGGUUGAUAUUAAGCCUUGAUUGAAAUUAUUUGCUAGUAAUAUGUUUUUAAAAUUGUUGAUAUUAAAAUCUUCAUAACUGAAAAUUCAAGAUAUAAAAUAUGGAAAGUUUUCAUUGGAAUUAAAUACAUUCCAUUUCAACGAAUGGAAGUUAUUGAUUGAUGAUUGGAAAACAUUUAUUGGAAUUAAAUACAUUCCAUAUGGGGAAGAUGAUGUCAGCAAUAUGAUUUAAGGGUGGAAAAAAUAAGAUUGAAAUACAAUUAAUGAUCCAGAUUAUUUAAGAUGAUGUCAUAAGGUUUCUAUUUUAAUAAUAUUUAAGAUUGAAAUCCUGAAAAAUUUAUAAGGUUAUUAUUUUAUCAAUUUCAAAAUUCAAAAUAAGAUUGGAUUUGUAUUUUAAAACUGAACGGCAUUUUCUAUUGUUACCAAAAAAAUGGAAUUAAUUAGAGUAUAUUUUAUAUAAUUUCGGGGUUACUAUUAAUAAUUCUGGAUUUAUGAUUUGGAAAUGGAGGAAUUAAAGAAAUUUCAAUAAAAGAUAUGAAUUGUAUUUAAAAAAAAUGAACGGUCGUUGAUAUUGUAUCCAAACAAAGUGGACCUAGUUAAAGGAAUUAAAUGUAUUUUUUGAUAUAAUUGUGGAUUUAUGAUUUAUUUUUUGUAAAAUAAAAGAUUUAUUUAGAAAUGUCACGUGGCAAUAUGAAAUGGUAGAAAUGGGACAUAUGGCAUAUCAUGUUUUUGUUUAUUAGGAGAGGGAGAUUUAUUAGAGUUAUCAAAUGAAUUAGAAAGUAAAUUAUGUAUAAUUGCUACGGAUAAAACCAAUUAACAAAUAUUUUGCAUUGGAACCCAUUUAGUUCGAUUUUUGAAUGGUUACAAAAUUGACCAAAAAAUAAUAUUAAAUUUACUAUUUAUUAACAACUAGGUGGUGAACCCAUGCUAUGCAUGGGUUAAGAGGUGUUACAUUUUUUUUGAAUUUUUUUUUGUUGGGGUGAAAUGCCCAUAAAAAUGAAGACAAUAUAUCAUGACAAAAUAACCAUGACUUUCCUCUCGCAACCACACAUGCAUAUCCAGAUAAAAAAAUAAAAUAAGAAAAAAUAAACAAAAUAAGCAAUAUGAAAAUACAUUGCCAUUUCUAGCAUUCAUCCUAAUCAAUGACUAAAUGCAAGAAGUGCCAAUGUACUUUCAUUUUACAGUUUAAUAUGACAUGUUAAUUUUAAAUAGCAAUGCACUUUCAUUUCUAAAUGAAAGCAAGUUACUACAUUAGACAUUAUAGUAAUUUAAAAAAAAAAAACAAAAUUAAGAAAUAUAAAUCAAAGUAAGGUGCUAUAUUAAACAAUAAAAUGAAAGUACGUUGCUAAUUCUAGCAUGUAGCCCGAUGAAUUGUAUUUAUGUGCUUCGCUAGAAUAAUAGUGAAAAGAAUAUUGUGUUUGUUUCUAUUAUGUUUUAUCGUGUUUGUAUAAAUUUAAUCUGUUUCACCAUCAUUGUGAUUAUUCUUGCAGGGACGGAAUGGUAAUUUUUUAAAAUAAAUGGAAUAGCAAUCCAAAUAAAUGUUUUCAGUUACAAAAUCAAUGUUUAUAACUGAAAAGUAACAUACUAAUAAAUAAAUUUUAGUAUGAAAUUUAACCUGUUGGAAUUGCAUCUUAGGAUAAAGUCCAAGUUUUCUAUUUGUCGUUAAAAGCUUCUUCAACAUGUCCCAAAAUCCACAUCAGGGUUCAAGCUCUUUCCACAAUCAUAUAUGAUGUCCUCUUGCAAAUUUUGGUUUCUCCAGUCUAAAGUUUUACUUCCACCUGUUUUUCCUACAAAAACAACAUUUUUUUAGUCACCUCGGGGUUAAACCUAUAAAAAGAGUAAAAUAUUUAAUAAAAUUAAAGUUUGAUGCUAUAGUUAUAAAAAGUGGUAAAUUUUUUUUAUAGAUCUGAUAUGGACAAUUUCAAUAUAAAAAUAUAAGUUAGAAGGUGUUGUUGUUUGAUUUACUUUGUCACAACUUCCCUACCUUUCAUAUUAGAUAUCCAUAAAGAUGUCCUAAAGAUCACAUACUUUCUCUUUCUUCCCAUCAACAACCACUUGUAAAAAAUCGUUGAUUAUACUGUCAAAACUCACAAAAAACAACUGAAAUAGAUAUCUUUAAUAAUAAAAACUAUGCAGAUAAAUUAUUGAUGUUGAAGCCCUUAUGUUAUUUACCAAAACUUAAUUAAAUAUAGAAUUUUCAGGCAAAAAGUAAGUGUAAAGAACACAGAAAACACUAAAACCAUAGAUUCAAACUACGUGUUAAUAAAGUAAGAACCAAACCAACAAAAUAUUGGUCCCAAUUGAGAAUUAAGCAGCAAAAGAACAAAAAGAAAAGAACCAAUUUUCUUUCGGCUCCCUUUUUUGUUGCCCAUUAGUCUGAGAAGGAAUAAGAUAAAAAAAUUACACCAGAAACCUUCCUUUUCAAAUGAUGUGUGUCAAUCUCUUCUGCAAAUGGGUACUCUACAGCUCCCUUUCUUCGCUCUGCUACAUCUUUUUACAGCGAAAACAACAAAUUAAGAUUCGAUGUGGAAACAAAGUUGAAUAUACACAACCCAAAUUAUCGUAGGGAAACAAUGGUUUGUCUUCAAGCCUUUAGAUGUCGGACUCAACUCCAAAAACGAAACCGGAAAAGAAAUUAGGGGUAACAGUCGAUUAAAAAUACCAAUCUCAGUCAGCUGAACCAAUUUAAUCUUUCAAUUCUACCGAUUUACAUACGUAAAUUUACAUAUACGUUUACACAAAAAGCUCAAUUUACCGUAGAAGAGUGUGUGUGUGUGUGUGUGUGUGUCUGUGUCUGAAUUAGAAAAAGAUACCUUAACAGCAGAAAUCGAGCUCUCUCUGUAGCUAUCACACAGAACUCCAUCGAUAUCCAACGGAUACAGAUCCCCCAUUUCUCUCUCUUUCUAAUCCAGUCGGUAGGAAACAACUGGAGAGCUUGAACUUGUCGUUGCAGUCCAAUAGAUUCCAACUGAAAGCCUUGAUUUUUGGCCUCGUUUGUUGUCGACGGCGGCAGCAAAAAACGGAAGUUGGAGGAUUAUAAGCGUUAUAGAAGUUGGAAGAUCCUUGAAGAUGAUAACGAAGAUAACACAAAAACUUGAUUUAGUGCUGGAAAGUUAGAGUUUGAGUAGAAAUACCUAUACCAGAAGCAACCUCGUCCAGUAUCGAUGUCAUUAGCCCUGUUUCGUCUCUCUAUCGAAGGUUUUUAUACAGGUAACCCCUAAUUUUCGUUUUCAGAAAUUACCCACAAUCAUAUGUUGAUUAUCGGCUGAGAAGGAGGUUCGGAUUUAAUCUGUGAUUUCAGAGAAGCGCCACCGUUGGUGGUAUCUGGAAAAUUAGGAACAUGUAGAAGUUAACAAUCGGGUGGAGAUAGAGAAAAAAAGGAAAGAGGGACGAUGCUAUAAUUGCAAAGCGGUUGGAGGUAGCGAAUAGUCUUUGAUCGAGAGAGAGAUGAUAAUUUGUAACACUUUGAUUGGAGAACAAAACGGUGGAGAAAGAGAAAGCGGACACGUAUCUGUAAGUAAGACUUGCCGGCC